AAAAGCAAAAGGAUAAAGAGAUACAUCUCUUAAGUGUCCAUGGUGUUCUCAAGAAAUUGUAGAAUGUGCUGGACUGCAAAAUCCUGAGAUGGGGCUGUACUGGUGAGAACGAUCUGGGAUCUAUUCUUCUCUCCCUUAGAAGCAGAAUGUUCCUCCAGGUUUUAGCAGCAUGUCAUGUCGCCCCUGAUGUAUGUCACCCUUGGGUUUGCCCUUCAUGAUCCCUCAGCUGCAGUGCAAGUGGGGCACUCACAGUCAAGACUCCAACCACACUAAGCUGCUUUCCUCAGCCUUGGGAGACCAGCUCACAAUAAAUCCUAAGCCUCCGUUGUCCCUUGCUAUCUACUUAUAAGUAAUACAUCCACUUUGUGUAACUUGUACGCACUGGUGUUGUGUCUCACCAGAUUCACACGAGUUUGUAAUCAGUGCAUCGUGAAUCGACUUCAUAUAUAAAUAAGCUAUCUAAAAUAAAUUUAUAAUAACUCAUGCAUAAUAAAGUAUAAUUUACUUUUUCAUGUAUUCUCCUCCAUUCUUUUUCCUAUAAACAUUUUAAUGUAUUUAUAGUCAUAAUCUAUAUUUACUUGUUUGUUUCUUUUACUUUACUAACAACUUCAACAUAUGCUUUGCUAGAUUACUUUUAAAAAGUCAUAGAGUAAUAAUAUUUGCAUAAUAUUUUAUUACUUACAAUAUCUUACAUCUAUUAAAGCAAAUGUGUGUGCGCAUGUUGGGCAUUUAGGUUGGCUUCAUUGUUUCCAUGUAAUCUAUAUUUUUGUAUAAAUGUACAUUCAAUGAAGUUUUUUGGUACAUGGGGGUCUCUAUAGACUAG
rnacentral:lncRNA from 1 species